GAGUUCACAACACCUACAUUGACAGGCUGCAGAAAAGAGCCUUUGUCAUCACUGCCAUUAAAGGUGUGGGGCAGAGAUAAGCUCAUGUCGUGUCGAGGAAGGCAGACAUUGACCUUACCAAGAGGGCACGGAUGAAGAGGUGGAAGCCGUGACCACCAUCAUGCAGAAUCAUGACUUGGACAGGUUCUUGGGCAGGCAGAAGGAUGUGAAGGAUGGAAUAGUACAGCCAGGUUAUGGCCAACGGUCUAGACAACAAGUUGCGCAAGGACCUAGAGCUGCCAAAGAAGAUGAGAACCCACAGUGGGCUGCACCACUUUUGAGGCCUUUGUGUCCGCAGUCAGCACAACAAGGCCACUGGCCACUGGGGCCAUACUGUGGGUAUAUCCAAGAAGAAAUGA
rnacentral:lncRNA from 1 species